rnacentral:rRNA from 1 species
GAUGAACGCUAGCUACAGGCUUAACACAUGCAAGUCGAGGGGAAACGGCAUUGAGUGCUUGCACUCUUUGGACGUCGACCGGCGCACGGGUGAGUAACGCGUAUCCAACCUUCCCAUUACUGUGGGAUAACCUGCCGAAAGGCAGACUAAUACCGCAUAGUCUUCGAUGACGGCAUCAGAUUUGAAGUAAAGAUUUAUCGGUAAUGGAUGGGGAUGCGUCUGAUUAGCUUGUUGGCGGGGUAACGGCCCACCAAGGCGACGAUCAGUAGGGGUUCUGAGAGGAAGGUCCCCCACAUUGGAACUGAGACACGGUCCAAACUCCUACGGGAGGCAGCAGUGAGGAAUAUUGGUCAAGGGACGGAAGUCUGAACCAGCCAAGUAGCGUGCAGGAUGACGGCCCUAUGGGUUGUAAACUGCUUUUGUAUGGGGAUAAAGUUAGGGACGUGUCCCUAUUUGCAGGUACCAUACGAAUAAGGACCGGCUAAUUCCGUG